AACGAACGCUGGCGGCAGGCUUAACACAUGCAAGUCGAGCGCAUCCUUCGGGGUGAGCGGCGGACGGGUGAGUAGCGCGUGGGAACGUGCCCUCUUCUACGGAAUAGCCUCGGGAAACUGAGAGUAAUGCCGUAUACGCCCGCAAGGGGAAAGAUUUAUCGGAGGAGGAUCGGCCCGCGUUGGAUUAGGUAGUUGGUGGGGUAACGGCCUACCAAGCCGACGAUCCAUAGCUGGUUUGAGAGGAUGAUCAGCCACACUGGGACUGAGACACGGCCCAGACUCCUACGGGAGGCAGCAGUGGGGAAUCUUGGACAAUGGGGGCAACCCUGAUCCAGCCAUGCCGCGUGAUCGAUGAAGGCCUUAGGGUUGUAAAGAUCUUUCAGCUGGGAAGAUAAUGACGGUACCAGCAGAAGAAGCCCCGGCUAACUCCGUG
rnacentral:rRNA from 1 species